AUCUUAUCUUGAUGCCAUUCAAUCUGUCCGAUAGUUUAAAUACAAGCGUUUGAUUCCUAGGGAAGUACUCUUGUAUAUACGCGUAUGCUUUCUGACCAGAAAGGUUUCACGAAAGACUAGCAUAUCUAAACAAAGAUGAAACUAUCCUCCACGCUCUCUGCAGUCAUGAUAUUUGGGAUUAUUUCCCUGUCUUCCGCCAAUCGGAUUCCUCCCCAUCAGCUGUCAUGUGUGACUUAUUGUGGGAACUAUGAAAAGCAUUGUGACCUGCAGCUGGACUGUCCCUUAGACUCGUGCGACAUUGGUGAUCGUGAUUGCUUCUUUAAUGAAUGUAUGACUUAUUUGGGCUGCCAUAUCCAACGGAAAAGAGAAAAAAGUGACGCUAUUGUGGAGGCAAUCUGAGGAUCAAAAGCUUUAGAAAAAGAAAACAAUUAUUUCUGAAAGUUGAACAGGUUUACUUUCGAAGGAGUAUUUUUGUUGAAAGGAAUAAUUCAAAAAGUCUUGUUCCUUCACUUUGUAUGAUUCCCUCCUGUGAUGUAAUAGUAAUAUUUGUUUUGAUAAAUUAUAUAUACGGAUGGCUGAAAUGCGGAAUGAUCAUGCAUGUUAAAUAGAAUAAAUAAAUGGAUUGCAAUGCACGAAAAAGCGAAGAGUUUUAGCAAUAUGACAUCUUAACUAAACUAUGCUGAUUAACCGUGUUAAAUAGAACAAAACUUGGCUUGCAAUGCACGAAAAAGCGAAGAAGUUUAGCAAUUUGACAUCUUUAAUACUUGCUUUCAGAAAACGGCAGAAUAAGCAAAGCAGAACAGAACUGAA